AGCGAACGCUGGCGGCAGGCUUAACACAUGCAAGUCGAGCGGGCGUAGCAAUACGUCAGCGGCAGACGGGUGAGUAACGCGUGGGAACAUACCUCUUGGUUCGGAACAACACAGGGAAACUUGUGCUAAUACCGGAUAAGCCCUUACGGGGAAAGAUUUAUCGCCGAGAGAUUGGCCCGCGUCUGAUUAGCUAGUUGGUGAGGUAACGGCCCACCAAGGCGACGAUCAGUAGCNGGUCUGAGAGGA
rnacentral:rRNA from 1 species